rnacentral:rRNA from 1 species
AAUCAAGUGGAGGACAAGUCUGGUGCCAGCACCCGCGGUAAUUCCAGCUCCACUAGCGUAUAUUAAAGUUGUUGCAGUUAAAAAGCUCGUAGUUGAACCUCUGUCUGGGGCUAGUUUUGGCUUUGGUCAGGCUAGUUCUAGGCAUCCGCCUACAAGACUUAGAGGGCAUUCAGUUGUUCACUAGGAGGAGUAGGCAUUUUACUUUGAAAAAAUUAGAGUGUUUAAGGCAGGCAAUCGCCCGCAUAUAUUAGCAUGGAAUAAUAGAAUAGGACACUUUUCCAUUUCGUUGGUUAUUGGAAUCGUGUAAUGAUUAAUAGGGACAGUUGUGGGCAUUUGUAUUUAAUUGUCAGAGGUGAAAUUCUUGGAUUUAUUAAAGACAAACUAACGCGAAAGCAUUUGCCAAGGAUGUUUUCAUCAAUCAAGAACGAAAGUUAGGGGAUCAAAGACGAUCAGAUACCGUCCUAGUCUUAACUAUAAACUAUUCCGACUCAAUGUUUGACUGGCUUAUAUAACCAGUUGAGCGUUGUAUGAGAAAUCAAAGUCUUUAGGUUCUGGGGGGAGUAUGGUUGCAAAGCUGAAACUUAAAGGAAUUGACGGAAGAGCACAACCAGGAGUGGAUUCUGCGGCUUAAUUUGACUCAACACGGGGAAACUUACCAGGUUAAAACAAUAGUGGGAUUGACAGUUUGAGAGCGCUUUCUUGAUUGGUUGGGUGGUGGUGCAUGGCCGUUCUUAGUUGGUGGAGUGAUUUGUCUGCUUAAUUGCGUUAACGAACGAGACCUUAACCUGCUUACUAGACUGGCGAUCAUCAAUCGUUAGCUCUUCUUAGAGGGACUUUGGUUGUUUUAACUCCAAGGAAGUUUGAGGCAAUAACAGGUCUGUGAUGCCCUUAGAUAUCCUGGGCCGCGCGCGUCAUACAAUGACUAGUUCAGAAAGUUUUCUCCUGACCCGAAAGGGGAUGGGUAAUCUUGAUAAUACUAGUCGUGUUAGGGAUCGAUCUUUGCAAUUAUAGAUCUUGAACGAGGAAUUCCUAGUAAGUGCGGUUCAUCAGACCGUACUGAUUACGUCCCUGCUCUUUGUACACACCGCCCGUCGCUUCUACCGAGUGGGUGGUCCGGUGAGAUAAUUGAACUUCGCAGGUAACUGAGAGGAAAGAUUAUCAAACCUAUCCACCU